AGGAGACUGCGCUGCGGAAGGAUCGAGUGGCCUGCCUGAGGUGCCCUGUCUGCUGGCACAGGCCGGAGCACAUGGUGGGUGCAGGGGCACCCCGUUCCCUCCCCUCCCCUCCCCGCAGCUUUUUGCUGGCAGGACUCUCCUGCCCUCUCUGACUGUGCCGCUGCCACGUGCCACAUCCUCGUCUUCAGUGAAGUCCAGCCUUCACAGACUCUGCUCGGUCUGCUGGGGAAGAAUGGCUUCAUUAACCAAGACUGAAGCUGAAAGGAAGUCCAGACGUGUUGGGGGACGAGCAUGAGCACACCAAGCGUGACACACCAACCGUAGAAGCCAGGGCCAGGGCUUUGCAGCAGCAGCCGCUGAGGAAUGAGCGCCGCCUUGAACUCACUGAGAGAAGAAAUCCCUGGAGGCCUGAGAAGAGAAGCGAGCCACCACAUAUGAAAUGCAACUACCCAGAGACCACCACACUCCCAUGGCAUGUGGAGGAGUGCUGGAGAACAAAGUGCCACAUGGUGAGGCACCAGCCUCCGCUCCACCAAACCACCAGCUGGAUCCAGCCACAGGUCCUGGCUCAAGCUGGUAACCCGAGGCGGUUGGUGUGAUGAUGAUGCCGUGUUCUCCUGUGUUCUAACCAUCUCCUCCUGAUUUCUGGAGCCUGAUUACAGCUGCACCAAGGCAAGGACUCCCAUAGCCUAGUGCAUGAAGUUACUCAUGAGCAAAUCACUGGCUCCCUGGAGAAAUGAUGGUACAAGCAAUACCUGAAGGUACAGGUGCCGUACAAGAAAGGGUUCCAAGACCAACAGGAACACACCGAAGGAACCCAGCUUGCAAAUCCAGCUACCAAUUUGUAGAAAGUACAAGACUCAGAGGAUUAAACUGAGAUCGAUUACAGGGACACCACCAGGUACAUCCAGAAGGCUGAAUAUUUUCCUCAAGACAAUCAGCUUGUGAAUUUUGUUUUUUAAUAAUUUUGUGACAUGAAUAAAGAAAUGGGGGCAGGAGGUGGACGGUGCCAAGCGGAGAGAAACGUAAGGGCCACCACCACCAAAUCCAGUGAUUAGUCAUGGAUUGGAUCUGUUUUGGACAGAAGGGAGUGGAGGGAACUCUUCAGAAGAUGAAGGAAAUUUAUUGCAUAUGUUUUUGACAUAAAAUGAUUGAUAUCCAUUGUUAGGUUUAAAAUACCAUGUACAGUAUGAAUUGAUUUUGGUGAAACCAUAAUGUUGUGUGUAUACGUGCAGUGAAGAGGGUCCGGAGGCAGCUCUGCCUGGGGUGGGCGGUGCCAUCCUCUAGGUGUGGAAUACACCACUCUCAAUCUUCAUCUUUGCUUUCUAACUUAGGCAUAACACAGCUUUUGAAAUCAUGAAAACUUAGAUUUAAUUAAAAGUUCAAUGAAACAGGCAUUCCUAAUAUACAUAUUCAUGUUUUAAAAAAUUUAUUAUUCUAUUUUGUUGUCCAGAACUUUGACUUAAUUUUUGAGCCAAAUGCAUUCUUCUUAGAGUUUCUGAAAGGUUCGAACAACCUGUUUUCCCUCCUUUUGAUUUCCAACCUAGCCUGGAAAAAAAUCUCUUCUAAAUCCCUUGAGGAAGCUGUUUUCAUUGAACUUCUGAUCCUACCAGAAGCAAUGUUUGUCCAGAGAAGUCUGUUGCCUCUCUUUAUAAAUUCAGUCUGAUGUUACAUCAAAGAAAUGCAGAUAAACACGGGGGCUGUAAGUUUCAAGUUCAAAAUAAAUCCCUAAUUUGAACUUCUCAAGAAGGUUUUGAAGCUUUUACAUAACUAUGACAAAAGCUUCAGGAAACAGAAUGAAAGGUAAGUUUAACGGUAGGGAUAACAGCUGGUGAAGUGUCCAAAACGUUAAUGAGCUUGAUUACCAUGCUCAAUGCAGGAAUUACAUGACCUCACUAUUAAUGACAACUGAGAGCUGAGACGAGGAAGACGGAACCAGUUCAGGAGCAGGUGGAAGUUACAGCUUUAAGACGUAUGUAAACAUUUCACAGAAGGUGAGACUAUUUUUCAGAUGUCUGUGUAGCCAAUGGUUUU